UAUUUUGCUUCACCUAAAUUUGAAUUUUACAAUUUAACUUGUGGUUUGAAAUCUUGUUGUUUGAUUUUGCUAGAAGAUUCAAAUAUGAAUCUUCCUUCCUUCUCUUGAGUUUAAAUUCCUUUCCUAUAUGUUAUAAAACAGAGUCAAAUGGGUUUUUACAAUCUUUAAUUCCAUUUGAACAUUUCCAAAUACUAGUACCAUAUUUGAAUUCUCAUAUUUCUCAGCUCUUCAAAAUGGUAUAUGAAUUUUGAAUCAACAGCUAUUUGCAAAAGAGAAAACAGAAAAAGAAAAAUGAAAAGAAAACUUACCUCGGGCCCAAGCCGGCCCAGCAGCCCCCUCGGCCCAAUCUCUCGCGCGCCCCGCAGCCCCGCCGCGGCCCAGUUUCUUCCGUGCACGCCGCGUUCCGCCUUCUCGCGUCGAAAGCGCAUUCUUAGAAAUGCACCUUGUCUCAUAGGGGGUUCUUCCCUCUGCUUUGCUUCUUUCUGGCCGGUGAGGCCCCCCGCUCCACGUCCGCUCCGACAGUGACAACCAUCCUCCUCACCUACUUAAGCAGCGCCGU
rnacentral:lncRNA from 1 species